UACGUAGGGUCCGAGCGUUAAUCGGAAUUACUGGGCGUAAAGCGUGCGCAGGCGGUUUUGUAAGCCAGAUGUGAAAUCCCCCGGGCUUAACUUGGGAACUGCAUUUGGGACUGCAAGGCUGGAGUACGGCAGAGGGAGGUGGAAUUCCACGUGUAGCAGUGAAAUGCGUAGAGAUGUGGAGGAACACCGAUGGCGAAGGCAGCCUCCUGGGCUAGUACUGACGCUCAUGCACGAAAGCGUGGGGAGCAAACAGGA
rnacentral:rRNA from 1 species